rnacentral:sRNA from 1 species
UGACCGCCCUUCUGCCGGAAGGGCCAAGGCUACACGGACGGCCGGGUCAAAUGCCGA